rnacentral:rRNA from 1 species
UACGUAGGGUGCAAGCGUUGUCCGGAAUUAUUGGGCGUAAAGAGCUCGUAGGCGGUCUGUCGCGUCUGCUGUGAAAACUCGGGGCUUAACCCCGGACCUGCAGUGGGUACGGGCAGACUAGAGUGCGGUAGGGGAGAUUGGAAUUCCUGGUGUAGCGGUGGAAUGCGCAGAUAUCAGGAGGAACACCAAUGGCGAAGGCAGAUCUCUGGGCCGUAACUGACGCUGAGGAGCGAAAGCAUGGGGAGCGAACAGG